UUGCUUCUAAUUAAUGCCCAGUCAAAGACAGCCGAACCUUGUCUAUUCAUCUGAAAAUCUAAUUACUUUUCUUUGCUUUUGACGGUUCAGUUUUAUGGAAAGGUGUUCUUCAAAACUGAUGCCUCUGCUCAUUUGCUUUCCUCUUAUGUAUUUCUUUUUCAUUUCCUCCUCAGUCUGGUUCCUUUCUCUGGUUGAUUUGUUGUUGUUUCUCAGCAUAUUCUGGGACCGUCAUUUCUAGGUAUAACUCUUCUUUCCUUUUUAACGAUUCUGUUGCCACUAUAUGCGCGAGAGCGUUUUUCGAUCUUGGUGUAAACUUGAACAUGACACUCCUAGAUCUGUUUAGUAUCUGCUUGAUAUCGUGAAUAUAUGCUCCAAUACAUGAUCGAUCUUGAUUUUCUGACAAACAUUUCUUUAUUGUUGUGAGGGAAUCUCCUUCUAUGAUAAUCAUCGGCCAUUCUUGUUCUACUCCUAUUUGAACAGCUUUUCGACACGCGAUUGCUUCAGCAACAUAGGCUGACGUUACAUCGUGAUGAAUCUCUGAGCAGGUGAGUAAAACGAUUCCUUCAAUGUUUCUAGCUACAACUCCUGAGGCAGAUUGUUGAUGAGUCGAAUCAUAGGCACCAUCAAAAUUAAUUUUGACGAACUCGCUAGGUGGCUGAGUCCAUCUUUUAUGUUCCUAUUCUCUUACUGACUUUGCCUUUUCAAGACCAUAAAGUUCAGCAAGGUAGUUAUUGAUGAAAUUCACUGUUUCUUGCCCUGUGCUGGUUUUUUUCUCAUGUACUCUUUUGUUUUUUUCACCCCAGAUAGCCCGAAGGCCACAACAGAAGAGUCUGUUUUGGUACGUAUUAAGCUAACCAGAGGUCCAGGUAAUCCAUUGUAUAAAAUCCAUGUCUGGAUUCUUGAGAAUAUUCUGAAGUUUUAAUAGUGCCCAAACUUCCAUUGUGACAGGGCACAUUCUGAAGAUAUGAUCGGUUGUUUCAUUCCUUUCUCCACAUCGGGGACAGUCUGUGUUACUAAUUAGUUUCCGAUGUUGCAUAUUCACCUUCGUAGGCAGAUAGUUCCAGGCAAUUCUCCAUAUUGUAAUCUUUAUUUUGGUCGGUAAAUUUAGUCGCCAUAAUUUUUUGUAAAAAUCCCCAUAGUUGGUUUGUAAAGCAUAAGCUCUAGGAAAUUCAUCAAAAAUUUGUAAUAGUUUAUACGCGCUGCGUACCGAGAAUUCCCCCGAAUAAUCACCUCCCCACACAAACAGAUCGUCAUGAGGUGUGCAUGCUAAAGGUAUCCGAAGAAUUUUUUCAGCAUCGACCGUUGAAAAGGUAUUGUUGAUGAGUUCUCUGUUCCAUAUUCGCGCAUUACUGUCGAUUAACUCAUUAACUUUUGCAUCUUGCAUAGUAUUAACAACCGAAGAUACUUUAAAAUUAAUAGCGUCUGGAAUACACGCAUCAUCAUUAAUGGAAAUAUUUGAACCUGUACCAACCCUCAGCACAUACCUUUUCCUAAAAUUCCCCUUGCUGCCCAUAUGCUUUUCCAGAUGUAGGAGCUAGUUUUUCCCAAUCGAGAAUUUAAAAAGUGCUCAUUCGAAAAAUAUUUUGUAUUAAAAACUUGUGUAACCAGUGAAUCUUGAUUAUUAAUAAUCCAUCCUUGCUUGGCUAAUAAUGAGAUUAAAUUGCAACAUAUUCUUGAACCCCAGACCCCCUUCUUCUUUUGAUCGGCACAUAUAUUUCCAUUGACACCAAUGUAUCCCUUUUCUACCAUUCCCUUUUUGCCACCAGAAUUUUGCAAAAAUAUUUUUCAACUCUUCACAAAAAGAUUUUGGUAAGAGAAAACAUGACAUAGCAUAUGCUGGAAUUGCUUGAAGCACUGACUUGAUAAAAACCUCCUUACCCUAUUGUGACAAUAAUCUUGUGCUCCAACCAUCGAUUUUGAAUUUAAUUUUAUCCUUUAUAUUUGAAAAGCUUCUUUCUUUCGUUUGCCUACCACAUUAGGGAGUCCAAGAUAUUUUUCCAGAUUUGUGGAGCAUCUCACCCCUAAUACUGUUGAUACCUCCGCUUUGUCUCUUUCCGUUGUAUUUGAGUUGUAGAAAAUUGUUGACUUACUGAAAUUCAUACACUGUCUUGAACACUGUUCGUACUAUUUCAAGAUACCUUUUAAGAUUCGUGCUCCUCUAUUUGUCGCUUGGCCAAACAUUAUACUAUCAUCUACAAACAGUAGGUGGGAAAUUGUUGGCCCUUUUCGACUUGCUCUUACUCUUCUUAGUAAACCAUCAGUUGUCGCCAUUCUUACUAAAGACGAAAGUCCCUCACUGCAAAUUAGAAACAAAAAAGGGCUAAGUGGAUCGCCUUGACGAAGCCCUUGGGUGGGUUUAAGAACAAUUCCUCUUCUUUCAUUGAUGUUGGCUUUGUAGGAGGCUGUGGAGAUACACUUCAUAUUCAAUGACACCCAUUCCUUUGCCUAUCUCAUUCUCAGCAUAACAUCCUUUAGAAAAACCCAUUCAACUCUGUCAUAAGCUUUGCUCAUAUCAAGUUUAAUUGCCAUAAGCCAUUUUUUCCCUAUCCGUUUCUUCCGCAAUGUGUGGAUGAGUUCAUAAGCUAUUAACACGUUAUCUGUAAUAAGCCUUAUUGGAACAAAAGCACUCUGGGCCCUGUCUAUGCUUCUUCCAAUGACCCCUUGAAAACGAUUAGCAAUUGUUUUUGCCACAAUUUUGUAUAGAACUAUGCAUAGGCUGAUAGGUCUGAAAUUAGCUAGACUUGUAGGUUUUGGUAGUUUUGGGAUAAGCAUAAUAUCGGUAAUAUUAACCAAAUCAAAUUUUUUUUUCUUAUUCAGGACUUCCAAAAACAAAAUUUCUCAACAUCAUUACUUACAAUGUGCCAGAAUUUUUGAAAAAAUAGUGUUAGAAAACCAUCAUGACCUGGUGCUUUAGUGGGCCCCAUUCAUUUUAGAGCUGAAAAAACCUCUUCUGCUGUAAAUGGUGUAAGCAACAUUGCAUUUAUAUUAGCUGAAAUACUAGUAUUUAUUCCUUCUAGUAUAUGGGAUAAAUUUCCCACACCCUUCGAUGUGAAUAGAUUUUUGAAAUAAUUUGAAGCAGUUUCAUUAAUUGCCAAUUCAUCAGUGAUUUCCUAUCCUCCAUCAUCUUCCAAUCUAUUAAUAGUGUUUAUUUGUUUAUGUACUGACGCAUACUUAUGAAAAAAGGUUGUGUUCUUAUCCCUUAAUUGAAGCCAGUUAGCUCGUGCCCUUUGUUCCCAAUACAUUUCAUCUUUAUCAAUCUCCAUAUUGAGUUGGAUCCUAGUAUCGAUUAGCUUUUCUAUAGUGGUAUCAUCUCUGUCGCUUGCCAUUAAUUCUUCAAGGUCCUUUGUAAGCCUAUUCUUUAAACCAACUCAUUUUUUCUUUAUUACAUUCGCCCACCUCGCUAGGCUAAAUUGUAUUCUAUCUAGCUUUUCGCCUAUAGAUCCAUCCGAAGACUCCCACGCUCUUCUAAUCUCUUGCUCGAAAGAUUCCUCCAUAAUCCACCAUGCCUCGAAUUUGAAACUUUGACUUCCAUUACUGCUUUUCUCACUAUUAGUACUUAUAAGUAAGGGGCAAUGAUCUGAAAUCGUACGUGUUAAAUGAUGAAUAGUUCUAUUUGGAAAAAGUUGCAUCCAUUUCUUAUUUGCCACACCUCUAUCAAGUCUCUCUUUAAUAUUUGUUUCCAACAAGUUUCCACGCUCCCAUGUGAACCAAACCCCCAUGUACCCUAUGUCCAUUAAUUGACAUUCAUUAAGAACUUCGCGAAAAGCUUCCAUGCUUUUUUCUUCCCUCGAUUGACCACCACUUUUUUCAAAAGAAUACAUUAUUUCAUUUAAAUCACCACAAACUAGUCAAUGAUGAUUUUGAUUUUUACCCAAUUGCCUUAAUAGAUUCCAUAAGGCGUUCUUAUCUUGAACAUAAGGCGAACCAUAGAAUCCAGUAAAUCUCCACUCUUCAUUGACAUUUUCUUCCUUUACCAACACAUCAAUAUGAUUUCUUGAAAAAAUUUUAAGAGCUACAGUAAUUCUUGUUUUCCGCGCCAUACAAAUUCCCCCUUUAGAACCUUCUGCUCCUACAUCAAUUCCAUUCUCAAAACCAUAUCUCCUUCGAAUUUUUUCCAUACACCAUCCAUCAAUUUUGAUCUCCAUAAAGAAAACCAUCUGGGGCUUAUGUUGCUUCAGCAAAUACCGAAGCCUUCGUGUUGGCCGUGGAUUCCCCAAUCCACGGAUAUUCCAGCAUAUGGUUUUCAUUGUGCCUGGUCAGCAUGCCUCUUGGUAGCCGCCGAUCUAUAUUGGUGAAAAUCAUAACUCUGGGAGAAAUAUUCAUCCGACAAAAUUGUAUCGUUUGUAGUUUGGUUUUCUUUGCCAUCAUUGUAACGCCCCUUACCCGAGACCGUUGCCGGAGUCGAGCACAAGGCACUACUAAACUUAUUUGAGCACUUAACCAAAUUUAGAUAAUUUAUAUCAUACUUUUUAGACAAUCUGUCCAACUGCGUCAUAGUUGCUAAAUAAUUCAUAUCUCGAGUUAUAAAACUCGAAACCCAAAUCCGUAAAUUUUCCCUGAAUUUAUACUCAUAUAUCUACUUACCAAUUUUUUUUAUAAUUUUUGGUUGGUCCAAUUAGUACAGUUUAUUAGUUAAAUCUUUCCCUGUUUCAGGGUUUGACUACUUUGACCUCUGUGCACUACGAACUAAAUUUCUCUCUGUACAAAAUUCAAAUAACCAUGCCGUUUUUUUCUCUUAAAAAUAGACCCAAUGAGGAAUCCAUACAUAUACAGUAUGACUCAUAAUUAUUUUUGUGCAAUUUUUAAUGAUUUUCUAAAAUCAGAACAGGGGAACUCGAAGUCAUUCAGAUUUUGUCUCACCACAAUUUAAAUAUCUCAUAACAUAAAAUCCAAUUGCAUGCACCGUUUCCUCUAUAUGAAACUAGACUUAUUAGGCUUUAAUCUCAUUUUUUUUCCAGCCCUUAACUCAAUUUCCACAAUUUAUGGUGAAUUUUCAAAGUCAAACUACUGCUACUUACCAAAAACUGUUUUAGUACAAAUAUUGCUAACUAGUUCAUAACAUCUUUACUUCAAUUCAUUCAAACUCUAUACAUGCCAUAUAAAUCUUUAAACAUAAAACAAAAACUACCAGAAUUGAUCUGAAUAGUGUGCCCUGUUGUGUUGAUCCGAUCUACCCACUUCACUUCAAGUCAAUCUACAUAAAAAUAUUAAACACACACAAGUAAGCUUAUUGAAGCUUAG
rnacentral:lncRNA from 1 species